UUGGUUGGGGGAAGAAAGUGCCCAGGGCGGUAUGUUCAUUAUGGGCUUCACCUUCUCCAUUCCAUGGAGUGCCCAGCAGCUGAGCAGAGCUGGGAGGUGGGCCAGGCUGCCUGCUGGAGCUCAUGGAGGCAUCCCCACCUAGGGAAGAAGAGAACUUGGCCAGGUGGCCCUGUGGCUCUCAGCACCUAUCAAUGAUCCCUUCACUCUUAACAUCAUGAAACAAAGCAACAUUUUGAAAGCUGGAAAGUAAGAAGUGUGGCCAAUGAUAUAACAGACAUGGGAAAACUGAAUCCUAAGUCAGCAGUGAUGAAAUUUGAGAAACAACCAGAAUCCCACAAGGGCUCAGGAAUUGGCAGUGCCAGGUAUCUGGAAGUGGGGUGGGGCAUCCUAAAACCCGGAGUGGUUCAAAGUCUGUUUAGGAAGCACUCUGACUCCCAGGUCCCUUCCCAGUCUGCACCAGGCUGGUAGCCUAUCCCCACCACAAAGUCUAGAACAGAAGGUCUACCAAUAGGAGAACACUGGGCAGAGUUGAGGGCUGGAUGCUGUGUUGGAAACUGAGAAAUUAAGUGGACAGACACUGAGACCCACUGCUCUUUCCCCAGUGAGCUCCCAUGAUGCUGGUUGCCAGAAUUAUAUCCUUUGAGCAUGAGCCUGGAAGAGUCUUCUAAGGGGAAUUUGAUCUCCACAAGAGUAAAAAUUUAAAUGCACUGUUGUGUGGGUCCUUCAGCCAAAUAACCCAGCCAGAGCAUGUUGUGGAGCCUCCAGACAACAAGGCCUAAUUGGUCCAAAAUCUCUACUCAGCUUUUUAGCUCCGAUUUUAAAUACUAACAGAUAAUCAAGGUUUAAUAGACACUGAGGAAAACCUCUCACAUGAAAUACAGCAACCAAGAGGAAUAGGAAAAAGCAACUUCAAGGAAAGAGAGACUGUACAGGGUGAAGAAAAUGUCAAAUACCCUCUGAUUAAUAUCCUCAGAGAUAAGAUAGAUAACUAUCAAAAAAGAAUAUAAUGUUAGUAAAAGGAACAUUCAGGGAACACAUAUGACCUCUUGGAAAUUAGAAAUAUGAUUAAAAAAUUAAAAAUUCAAUAAGAGAAAAUGAAGAAAAGCAAAUCUCUGAAA